GAGUUGCAAAGUCAUACCUUUCUGCUCUUGUCAGACAAUUAAGGGGUCUUUGAAUACUUCAGCCCUAAUAAUUUGCUUCCUAACAUACAUAUUGCAGUGCUUAUCUAAUUUUAAAUAUUCUUUUGUUUCAACACCUAAUUUUCUAUUUUGAUCUAUCUUUAUGUUUACAAUAUAUUUUGCUCUGUGUUCAUUCUUUGAUUUCAGAACUUCAAUCUUUCUGAAGCGUGUUUUCAGAGUUUCCUUUGAGUUUCUUUAGUGGAAUUCUGCUGGUGGUGUUUUGUUUUUUGUCUCUAAAUAUGUGAUUUAGCCAUAGGUUGAUGAAUAUUUUUCUUGGUUGAGGAUUUCAGAAUGGCAUUAUUAUUCUUAACAAAUAAUAUUGUUUAUUUUACCUUUCAUGCUUUCAGAUUUCAAUAUGAUUAAAGGUAAUUUGAUUUUUCUAGUGCUAAUUGAAAUAUUUUUCCCUUCCUGAUUGUUUACUAUUUCUCUAGGAGAUAUGUAGAUGUAGGUUUAUCUCCAUCGUAGCUUGCUUAGCAUGCAUAGAAGUUUUGAAUAUGUGGAUUAGUGUCUUACAAAACUCUAGAGAACUUUCAGCCAAAAUACCAUCACAUAUUGUCCCUUCCCCGUUCCCUUCCUCUAUGAGAACACUCACUAAACACAUGCUACACUUUCUCACUGUAUCUUCCAUGUCUCUUCAUGAUUCUGUCCACAUUGUGCCUUUUUUUAAAUUUUCUGUAAUGCAUUCUGAAAUAUUUAUGAGCUCUCACCAUGGCCAUGUCUAAUCUGAUGAGUUCAUUUUUGAGUUUUUAAUUUAAAAUACUACAUACAAACUACUUUUCAAAUUUACUACAUCAACUUUUUAGUCUCCUAAAAAUAUAUUCCUUUUUUUAAAUUUUUUGAAAGCAAAUGUGCUUUAUAAUCUAACAGUGAUAUUUCUACUAAUGAACCUCUGUGGAUCUGUUUGUACUCUUUUUCUGCUUUCCUUUCAAAUGGUGGAAUAUCAUUUCCUUGCGUACUUAGAUGCCUUUGAAUGACAAAGAUUUAUUUUUCUCUGAAAAUUAUUAUUGUGCACUUUUGCAUAUUAGUAAGAAGAAAAUUUGCCAAAGAGAAUUUGAAUUUUUUGUGAGUCUACUAAAGGCACCACCAUUCUGGGACCACAUUAUAUUAAUUCUUGGCCUAAAGGUGUUUGGACGUAUGUUUGGACAGCACAUUUAAACAAUUUUUAAAUUAAUUGCUGUAAAUCAUUAAUGAUUGAGUUUCUUUAAAUCUGUCCAAUCUCAAGUCAUUUUUAUUUGCCAUUUCCAGGGAAUGUGAAAUGAGACUAAUUUACCUCUGAUUCUUCUUUAUACUGAGGAGAUAAAUUUUGGUGCUAGCUUUAGGGAAGAGCUCCUGUGUGAUGCCCUAUCUUGGGAAACACUAUGUAUUUCUUUACUGUCCUAUGUGAUGUAUGACCAUAGGAAUCUGCACUCAUUCAUUUUGCUACAUGUCCGUAGGGCAAAAUCAGUAUCAGUGUUUAGGUGUAUUUUGUCUGCUCCCUGCAUUCCCAUGGUUUUGACCUUAUCUUUUACUUUUUUUUGUGAACAUACCAAUGCUUCAAUUUUUUUCCAGUAAUAUAAUCAACUAUACUAUAAGAGAAAAAUUUCGAUAAAACACAAAUUUCAUGUUUUCCUACUCUAAUUGGCUUUUACGUAAAAAUACAGGUAAAAUUUAUUUGUGCUUUUUUGCUAUUUCUGUUUUGCUAUUUUCUGUUUGUCUAUGUCUUCACCACAUAGACACAAUUAGGGAAUGUUGUACACUCUUGUGCCAACUGCUUUGAUAGUAACAAAAUGUAUUUCUCGAACUCCUAGGUAUAAAACUCAAGUAUCCACUAUUUAAAUUCUUUUUUGCUCACUUCUAGUAUGUUUCCAGUCUCAAUAGAAAUCGAUGCCAAUCCAGAAAUACAAGCAUUAUUCUAAUACUUCUCACACAUUACUGCAGGAGUGAGGACACAGCGAAAGUGAGACAAGGAAAAGAGAACAAAAUAAAACAGGAAAGACAGAAAAGCCAAUACCACACGUGUUAAGAGUUUCAAGGAAAAUAUGUUGGGAGUUCCUGGCAUAGAGAAUGUCACAAAGACAUGUUUUCAAUAGUAGUGCUAUCCCGAGGGCAGAGAAGACCCAGAGAAAGCCCAAGUGGCUGCUGGAACAAAAUCAGACACCGUGCCACCUGUCCACACUCCUUGGCUCUGCCAUCAUGCUGAAGAUCGCUUUAAAGGACUGGCUUCCCUCCCCCCAAAAUUAAAAGAGCACAGACUGAGAAACUGAAUGUGGGAGACAGCAGUGGAUUAUGCUGUUCUCAGGGGUCACCUCAGGUUUGGAAGCAUUCUUUCAAAUUAACCCAUCUCAGGCCAUCUGCAGAGAAGAAAGGUGGUACCUAACUUUUUUUCUUGUCGGCAUUUGGUAGGGGUGUUUUAUUGACCAAAUAUGUUCCCACAACCUAGUUUUUUGUGACUAACUAAAUAUAGUAGAGUUUUAAAUUUUAUCAUCAAAAUCUAUAGACAAUUUUUGAUGAAAAUAGACUCCAUCUCUAUGUCCUGCUUUUCUUCUUCUUAUUAAUUACAUUGCUGUAUAAAAGAACAAGACUUCAGCAUCAAGAAUAUCUUGUCUCUUGGCAUUGAAUUUAUACAAGGUGCUCUUUCUUUAAUGCUGUCUCAAAGGACAUAUUUUUACUCAUUAAAAAGGAAGAUCGGAAUCUAGUUGUAUGCACUGCUCCAACAUAUUAAUAAUUAAAAUUAGGAGGUAAAUGUGGUCAAAGCUAUAGAAAGACUGAGAUGUCAUUUAUAUGGAUUACUCUAUAGCACUCUACAAACAGAAAUUGUUAAAUAAUAGUUUAUAUAAAUAUUUUGUAGCAUUUCAAAUAUUUGAGUGCUUGAAGUUUCUCCUCUUCUAUAGUUCAGAUUAUCAAUUUGAAGACUUACUCCGCUAGUUAAUAUGUUUUUAGUCUCGUUUGAGUAUUAUAUAAAAGCAAUUUUCAGUUAAAUGUGUUCCGCUUACAUAAAACGUUACAAAUUAUUGAGGAUUUAAUUACUUAUUCAUGUUCCUGUAAUGUCUUUAGAAGAUUUUCUUAUUAUUACCUAUCAAUAUAUGUAUGCUUUGUCAAAGAAAAAUCAAACAUAUAUAUCAUUGAAAUUGAAACUUUUUAAAAGUACUUAUUAAUUCUAUUGAAAAACCACAUCCAUAGGAACAAUUACAAUAUAAUAUUGUGAACAUGUAAACAUAUACCCUAUGUCUAUUUUAUGUAUAAGCAUGUAUGAUUAAAAAUAUAGUGAAGAAUUUUUAAACCUAGUAUUAUAAAGUAAAAAUUAGUUAACUUCUGAUGAUUAUUUGUUAAUUAAGAUAAAAUUAUUUUGAUUUGGGUGAUUUUAAAUAAAGAAAAAUAUUAAAUUACAUGACAAAAAUUCUUUAUAAAAUGUUUAUGAUUUUUACAUUGGUUUUAUCACUUUUCCCACUAUUUUAUUUUAAGAUGACCUGCCUUGUUUAAAACACUGUAUUCAUCUUAGUUAAAUUAGAUUCCAUUUGUAAAAUAAUUAACAAAUGAUUUGCUCUAUUGUACAGUGCGGUUAUAAACUGAGUCAGUAUCUCAAGAUUUGAUCCCCAUUAUCAUCAUCUGUGGCCCUAUUUGUUUUAUAAAUGUAUUGUCUUUUUCCAUGCCUGUCACAUCUCUAUUGCUCUUUCAUUUUUCUCUUUGUCCCUUAUAGGGAGCAUUGCCUAUCUCUAGAUUAAGCAAAAGUUGCAUCAUAAAAAAGCACAAUAACCUGCUCAAUCUUUCUCACACAGAGAAAUGUUUGUUAAGUAAUUAAAGUGUAGAUGAUGAUACAAAGAGCUUGAUUAAAUUAGAUGCCAAAGUACCCUUGUGAUUCAGAAUAUGAAUGGUAUUUAAUUUCUUUGAAAUCAUUAAUUGCUGAGUGAGAUUAAUUAAUGCCAAUAUUCCAGAAGAUGUUCUACUUAGUGAAAUGUAUACAACGAAAAGCACAAUAACCUGCUCAAUCUUUCUCACACAAAGAAAUGUUUGUUAAGUAAUUAAACUGUAGAUGAUGAUACAAAGAGCUUGAUUAAAUUAGGUGCCAAAGUACCCUUGUGAUUCAGAAUAUGAAUGGUAUUUAAUUUCUUUGAAAUCAUUAAUUGCUGAGUGAGAUUAAUUAAUGCCAAUAUUCCAGAAGAUGUUCCAGUCAGUGAAAUGUAUACAACGUGCAAAAGAUUCAGAACUCUGAAGGGCAACAUUAUUCUAUAAUUAAGAAUUAAGAAUGAAUUCGCAUUAAUUACUGGGGAGAAAUACUUUUUAAGAAUUAAUGACUGAGAAAAUGUUUUUAUUUUUUAUUUAGAAAAUUAUUUUGUGCAUGAGCAUUACCGCAAGUUUUGCAAGAAACAUAAAUUUAAAGAAACAAUUAUGUGCACAAGAUGAAUUUAAUAACAUCUUGAUAUAUUCCACGAUUGCGGUUUUAUUUGGUAAAUCUUUCAAGGCACACCAUUUAAAGAGAAUAAAUGAGUCUUGGAAAUCUUGUAGGUAAGGGUAAAUAUUAGGAUGCAUCCAGUUACAUUUACACACACAUACAGUUACAUUUACACACACAUACACGCAUACAGACUGAGUCACGUGUGUGUAUAUAUAUAUAUGAAUUUACCAAUUGAUGUUAACUAAUAUUUAUAAGAGCCAGUUGGAUUGAUAUAUAUUGUUGAACCUGAAAAAUAUUUAUUAUAUACAUGUUUAAAAUACACACAGAAAUAAAUAGCAAUUGCACUAGGCAUUUGAAACUGUACUAAAAUAUAAGCUGUGAACAUUUUGUGAUCAUUACAAAUUCUUACACUGAAUAAAUAUUUUUAUUUUUACAAUAUUAAUAU